AACGAACGCUGGCGGCAGGCCUAACACAUGCAAGUCGAGCGAGGACUUCGGUCCUAGCGGCGGACGGGUGAGUAACGCGUGGGAACGUGCCCCUUUCUACGGAAUAGCCCCGGGAAACUGGGAGUAAUACCGUAUAAGCCCUACGGGGGAAAGAUUUAUCGGGAAGGGAUUGGCCCGCGUUGGAUUAGGUAGUUGGUGGGGUAAUGGCCUACCAAGCCGACGAUCCAUAGCUGGUUUGAGAGGAUGAUCAGCCACACUGGGACUGAGACACGGCCCAGACUCCUACGGGAGGCAGCAGUGGGGAAUCUUAGACAAUGGGCGCAAGCCUGAUCUAGCCAUGCCGCGUGAGCGAUGAAGGCCUUAGGGUUGUAAAGCUCUUUCAGGGGGGAAGAUAAUGACUGUACCCCCAGAAGAAGCCCCGGCUAACUCCGUG
rnacentral:rRNA from 1 species